CGGGCUUCCAGUCCUCUCUCUAGCAAUAGAGACUGGGUGUUAUCAAUCUUUACAAUCUGCUAAAUGAUGGUGUUACAAAUGGAAACAAAUGUGUGCUUUUUUUUCAUGGUGUCCUGUGUGGGAACCCAGCUGUCCGUCGCCCGCGGACUCUGCAGGUGUAGAGACCGCCCGGAGACAUGGGUGGGGGGCAUAUUCAUGAAGAAUGCUGCAAUUACUAGAUGAAUAGGUUUUUAAUUGUAGCCUUAACUGAGUAGACCGAUUGAACUCAAUCAUACGGUAAAUGGCCAGACCUGUCACAACAAUAUCGUUUAUUUUAUUGGUGAUUUCUUUAUAUUUUUUAAAUUCCAGUUCAUUUAUAAUCUCGAUUAAAUAAAGUAGCCAACCUAAGCAUUCUGCUCAUUCCAACUGUGCAUAAUCAUGUCCAACCCCAAAUCAAAGUGCUUAUUUUUUUGAUUUGCUUAAGUAGAAAUAUUACGUUUUUAUCAAAUGGAAAAGUGCAUAAUAAUAUAAAAUCUUAUUAUAAACUAAAGUUGCAUCAUCAUAUGGCCGUUCAACAAAGCGUAUCCUAUAUAGGCAAAGGAAUCAACUAAUUUGGCAGCUUGAUUUUUAUUUUAUUUCACCUUUAUUUAACCAGGUAGGCCAGUUGAGAACAAGUUCUCAUUUACAACCGCGACCUGGCCAAGAUAAAGCAAAGCAGUGCGACAAAAACAACAACACAGAGUUACACAUGGCAUAAAUAAUCGUACAGUCAAUAAUACAAUAGAAAAAUCUGUAUACAGUGUGUGCAAAUGAAGUAAGGAGGUAAGGCAAUAAAUAGGCCAAAAGUGGCGAAGUAAUUACAAUGUAGCAGUAUUUUGUAGUAUUGUAUGCAAAUUAUGACUUGAAUUGUAGGAUAAAAAAAGUUGAAAUCUAUUAAAACUUGCAUUUCAUUAGAAGACGAAUCUCAUGGAACCACAUAGCUUAGUAUUAAAACUUGCAUUUCAUUAGAAGACGAAUCUCAUGGAACCACAUAGCUUAGCCUAUGCAAUAAAUCUUUCAAUUUACAAAUUGCAUAUUUCACACAUUAAGCCUAAAUCCUCCCGUUCCUCUUAAAUUAGUCUUCCAAUGAAUCAUUUUACAGAUUCCUUCACAUGUUCCCACUGUGCGCUGGGCGAUGUGUUGAGUGCGGCAUUGAAAUAGCAUUGCUCUGCUCUGAACUGAAUCUUCCCCAGAUUGUCCAAACAAGCCGAAGCAGACUGGCAGGCGCCAGUGCCAUGACGUCACCCAUUCAUGAAGUCCCUGACGGCUGUCAACCUGGCGCCGCGCGGGCGGUGUGCAUGGAGACCACAAACAACGGGCUUGCACUCCCCCAUUCACCUGCGCAGCGCAAACCCUGAGAACUGGCUGCCCAAGAUCGGCAUUCAUUUUCAUUUAUCAAGUUAAACCACUCUGAAGAGAUUACCGCCCCACACCUGCAAACUGCCAUUGUCACUAGCUUGCUCAAAUUCCAAAGGCUAGUGAAAUACAAAAAGACAGAAGGCUUUGAAUUUGCGUUGAUAGUUCCUAAAUUCCUUCAGUUGGGUCCGCCCCUUAAUUUGUCAAAUAAAAUUCCUCAAGUAGAACGUUGUAUCCAGGCAUAGGCUACAUUGUAUCUUUCACACAUACAUAAAACACAUUACAAUGUUGCUAUUUCAGUGUCUGUCUCUGGCUGGCUGUAGAGUCCAACAGAAUGAGAGGUCUGCAUGAUACAUUUAAAAAAAAAAAAAUACAUUGAUAUUGUGCUGUUUGCAACAAACUUGCAAUUCAUUUGGAGACAGAGAACAAAACAAGAGAAGCGAUGAAAAUACAAAGUGAAAACAGAAAAUUGUUAGCAAAAAAAGCUAUGGUUUGAAUGAGUUUUUUUUAACCAAAGCAUGCAUCCUUAUAAUGUGCAUGUAAUUGAUUAUGGAAGUGUAAUUAAUAUGUCAGAUUUUCUCCCCUGGACAACCCUCUUUUAAACAAAUUCCCUGCUUUUGCUUAUACUAGUUGUGUAAAACUCUUCUUCGCCAGCAUGCAGAGAGCUGUGCCUGAGGAGAGUGACAUCCUGUUCUUCAUCGUCCUAUUUCUCAUGUCAUGUUGGGGAUGGGGAGCGCCAGUGGUCUGAAACAAUGGGAGUGCAGAGCAAGGAUUGUGGGGGGAAAUCUCGUCUGGAGCCAGUGAGUCUGGAGCGCCCCCUGCUCUCUCAUCCAGCUUUUGUUCAGCUGCAACAGCUAUCAGCACUUCCUACUGACACCAACAAUAACUCCACACAGCUGGGCACUUUUAAUCUUGUUUACUGCACAUCAAGGCGAGGGGGAGGGCCAGAGGAGGGGGACAGAGAAAAGUGAAACAGAUUAGAUCCUGAUUUUAACUGACAGAGAGGAGGUUCUUUCUGUAGUGAUUCAUUACAACUGGCUACUACUAAUUGAGGUGUAAAAAAUGUUUUCUCGCCCUUCUCGCUCACUUCCCUGUUGUUGGAGCCUCCCAGAUUUGUUGUGACACACUGUGGUUUGGAAGCAGUUGGUUGUUAGUUGAAUUAUAUGAAUUGUCAGUGGUGGAAAUGUGGGGACUUUUGAUCUCUCAACCUCUUUAUUUCAGAUUUUUUUUUGAGGGAGUAACACCCGGCUGCAGACUGUGGACAGGAAACAGAGAGCGAGAGAAGCUAAAAGCAUCCACCAUGCUUCCCAGCCGAAACAGUUUGGAAGAGUUUGUGCAUAUAUUCUGACAACAUUUUUGGAGUUUUUUUGCUGUUUGAGCACACAAAUAUUUUUCUGGAGGCAAGCUGAAGUUCGGAGCCGAAGUCUACACCCCUUCGUCAGUGAUUGGUCAACAGUAGGGAUUCUUCAAUAAUGUCUUUUGUUGUCAUUCAACGAGAGACAACUCUUUUUCAUGCACAUUUUUUCAUUGAGAAAUACUGCACCAAACAUCUUAGUUAGAUGUAAAAUUGUGCUACUAAGAUCUCUGCAAAAACUUCAAAUUAAUGACAGAUUUCUUGAUUCAUUCAGACUAUUUUGAGGAAGUGAUUACUGGGUACGGCUUCUCAAAAUGGACAAACAGUACUUCUGCCGUUUUUUUCUCCUUAUUUCAAGCAAGGUAUUAUGGAGUAUGCGAGGGAGUAUGCGAGCACACUAGUUCGGUUUGGCUUGUCGAGUUCAGCUAGGCGCCAGCCGAACUGUAGCAUUCUUAAGCAACAGAUGUGAAGUGGGAGAGGAACGGUUUCAAAAUCAGAUUUGAAGACUGCUUAUAGCCCAGAGACAGAAAAGAUACACACAACCUACUCAAGAAGCUUAAAGAUUUUCUUCUUUUUAUUAGAUGAGCUCAACAAUGAGGCCGUGUCUCUUCUGCUGCACCCAUAGAAAGUCCCCGGGAAGUGCAGGGGGUGCAGGGGCUUCCCUUUAGAGGGACCAGCUGUUCACAGCUGGCCAACGGCACCACAGCGCCUCAUCCUCAACCUGCCUGAGAUUAACAGCCAGUCGGCAGCUGUCACCCCCUAAAGAGACAGGGAAGGAAAGAUGAAGAAAGAGAGGGAAAACGAUGGAGAGAGACAGACAGAGAGGCCUCCCCUCUCAUCACAUUCCGUCUCAGUCCUCCUCUGGAGAAAAAAGGGAAUUGCCCAUGUGGAGAGCACCAAUAAACUAGAACUGGGGCGGCAGGUAGCCUAGUGCUUAGAGCAUUGGGCCAGUAACCAAAAGGUUGCUAGAUCAAAUCCCUGAGCUAACAAGGUUCUGCCCCUGAACAAACCCAUUGUUCCUAGGCUGUCAUUGUAAAUAAGGAUUUGUUCUGAAACUGACUUGCCUAGUUAAAUAAAAGCUGUAACUGCCCCUGUGCUCACCACAAUAGUACUUUAGUGUUCAGAACUUUUGAACAAACCCCCUUAAAACCCCACAGUUGAUCUGCUCACUCACACGCAGAGCAAACAACCUUCAUCCAGGCUGACCUACAUAGCUUGAAUUUUUACACAUCAUCCAUUUAAUCAGCUGGACACACAUUACACAGGCAAUAGGUGACCUCGCCAAACCUUCACAAAAAGCACCAAGUAUCCCACCAGGGAUGGGAAUCAGUGGUCCGUGUUUAGUUGGGCCAUAGAACAGGUGUUUUAAGGUUCUAGACACAAGAAAGUUUUCCCCUUGAGAAAAGACUGCUGCAGGCUGAUAGGUAGUCUGUUGUCUCUCUGGAUACUGUGGUGUCUCUGGAUACUGUGGUCUCUCUGGAUACUGUGGUCUCUCUGGAUAUUGUGGUCUCUGGAUAUUGUGGUCUUUCUGGAUAUUGUGCUCUCUGGAUACUGUGGUCUCAGGUGCUCUGGCAACCAUACAGAUCACAUUCUGUGAUCUGGCAUUCACUCUGACCUUCCUGUUGCUGAGAACGGCCGUACACACACACACACACACACACACACACACACACACACACACACACACACACACACACACACACACACACACACACACACACACACACACACACACACACACACACACACACACACACACACACACACAAACACUCCUCAAACAGACCGAAACCAGCCGUAGGUACACUGGGGUGUGUCCCAGGAUGUGGUGAGGCUGCAGGUGUGAGUGGGUUUGGCAUGCUGCAGCACUGACAAUAGACCCACAUUGUGCCUGUUUGUUAUCGCUUCUCGUGUCACUGCUGUUGUUUUGUAUUUUUCUGUGUCUUUUUAUUUUUUUAUUUUUUACAAACAUGACCUGGCUGGGCAAAGUGUUAAAACGGCCACCACACAAAAACAAAGCUGAAACCCUCUAUAAUGAGGCCAUGGGAAAACACAGUGCUUUUGUAGGCUGGUGCAGGGCCACCUGCCCAGCUGCUGUAUGGGCUGCUUUGUGAGGUGACUGGACCUCAACAAUGUGCACAAAGCCCCACCCUCCAUACAAACCCUGGGAACAGACAACAGGUGUUUAGUCCUGGCCAGUCGCCUGCAUCAUGGGUACAUAGUACAUAGUACAUAGCACCCAGCACACA